CGCUGGCGGCACGCCUAACACAUGCAAGUCGAACGAAGUAGCAAUACUUAGUGGCAGACGGGUGAGUAACAUGUAGGUAUCUGCCCUUUGGCCUGGAAUAACACGAGGAAACUUGUGCUAAUACCGGAUAAGUCUUUACGGAGAAAGCUUUAUGCACCAUUGGAUGAGCCUGCACUUGAUUAGUUUGUUGGUGGGGUAAUGGCCUACCAAGACUGUGAUCAAUAGCUGAUUUGAGAGGAUGAUCAGCCACAUUGGGACUGAGACACGGCCCAAACUCCUACGGGAGGCAGCAGUGGGGAAUCUUGCACAAUGGAGGAAACUCUGAUGCAGCGAUGCCGCGUGAGUGAAGAAGGCCUUUGGGUUGUAAAGCUCUUUCGUCGGGGAAGAAAAUGACUGUACCCGAAUAAGAAGGUCCGGCUAACUUCGUGCCAGCAGCCGCGGUAAUACGAAGGGACCUAGCGUAGUUCGGAAUUACUGGGCUUAAAGAGUUCGUAGGUGGUUGAAAAAGUUGGUGGUGAAAUCCCAGAGCUUAACUCUGGAACUGCCAUCAAAACUUUUCAGCUAGAGUAUGAUAGAGGAAAGCAGAAUUUCUAGUGUAGAGGUGAAAUUCGUAGAUAUUAGAAAGAAUACCAAUUGCGAAGGCAGCUUUCUGGAUCAUUACUGACACUGAGGAACGAAAGCAUGGGUAGCGAAGAGGAUUAGAUACCCUCGUAGUCCAUGCCGUAAACGAUGUGUGUUAGACGUUGGAAAUUUAUUUUCAGUGUCGCAGCGAAAGCGAUAAACACACCGCCUGGGGAGUACGACCGCA
rnacentral:rRNA from 1 species